rnacentral:rRNA from 1 species
UACGAAGGGGCUAGCGUUGCUCGGAAUUACUGGGCGUAUAGCGCACGUAGGCGGAUUGUUAAGUCGGGGGUGAAAUCCUGGAGCUCAACUCCAGAACUGCCUUCGAAACUGGCGAUCUUGAGUCCGGGAGAGGUGAGUGGAACUGCGAGUGUAGAGGUGAAAAUUCGUAGAUAUUCGCAAGAACACCAGUGGCGAAGGCGGCUCACUGGCCCGGUACUGACGCUGAGGUGC